CCUACGGGCGGCAGCAGUAGGGAAUCUUUCGCAAUGGGCGCAAGCCUGACCCAGCAACGCCGCGUGAAGGAAGAAGGCUUUCGGGUUGUAAACUUCUUUUCUCAGGGACGAAGAAAGUGACGGUACCUGAGUAAUAAGCCACGGCUAACUACGUUCCAGCCGCCGCGGUAAUACGUAGGUGGCAAGCGUUCUCCGGAUUUAUUGGGUGUAAAGGGCGGGUAGGCGGGAGCGCAAGUCAGAUGAGAAAAUGGAGGGUGCAACACUGAGCCUGCAUGUGAAACUGUGUUGCUUGAGUGCUGGAGGGGCAAUCGGAAUUCCGUGUGUAGCGGUGAAAUGCGUAGAUAUACGGAGGAACACCAGUGGCGAAGGCGGAUUGCUGGACAGUAACUGACGCUGAGGCGCGAAAGCGUGGGGAGCAAACAGGAUUAGAUACCCGUGUAGUC
rnacentral:rRNA from 1 species